UUCUGAAGAGGGGGGCACCUGGGUGGCUCAGUGGGUUGAGCCUCUGCCUUCGGCUCAGGUCAUGAUCCCAGGGUCCUGGGAUCGAGCCCCACAUCGGGCUCUCUGCUCUGCAGGGAGCCUGCUUCCUCCUCUCUCUCUGCUUGUCUCUCUGCCUACUUGUGAUCUCUGUCAGAUAAAUUUAAAAAAAAUCUUUAAAAAAAAUAAAUUUCUGAAGAGGGACUUUGGACAGUGGGGUUAAUAUAAAAGUGAAGAAUUAUAUUUUCUAAUGGCUAGAUACACUUAAAAUAAGCCUUAUCCUACACAUGCUUGAAGUAAACUGGGUUAAAGUCCUUACCUGAUAAUGUGAAUGACUAUAAAAUUAAAGCCCAGUGCAGACUUAACUCCAGAGUAAACUAAUCCUCAGGAAGCAGGUCACCCAAAAUCGUUCAUCCCUGUCCUUUUGCUAGAUCAAGGGUUGAGAGGGAUCCUAUCCACAGCUUGCUUCCAGAUUGCUCUACUACGCCCAACUAAGUGUAUUCUGGGCCAUAGGGCUCCAAGUGGAGCUUUCACUAGAAUAGCUCCUCCAGCUCAGAGUGGGUGGAAGGUAUGUACAUAUUUUGAGAGAGGGAACAGACUCUAUUCCUCGACUAUGGUCUCUUAGAUUUGUAUCUCUGGUAGGGCCUCUGCUGCCCAUCUCCUUUCCGAGUCAUCAGGUAUCUGUUUUUUUCUCUUGGCCCUUUCUUUGGGAUAGAUUCUAGCUAGCCCCUUAUCAACUUAGGUGCUUGGGGAGAGCACAGCUUAGUGGCCCACGUGUUUUUGUUCUCUCUGAGGUAAAUGAUGAGAUGGUGCUGCAAGGAGCUUGGAAGCAACUUCAGGAGGAGUCCAGGCAACCUCUUCGUUUCAAGCCCCAGGAGAUAGUUAUUGGCAACCCAGGUUGCUAACAACUUAGGAAGAGAAGUGCUAUGUUUUAGUAGAGGGUCCAAGAGCAAAUUUUCUGAAGCGCUUUCCAACUUUAAUAAUAUGUAAUGAAAGCUUUCUACUGUCCUUGUAGUUUUAGAAAGAGACCAUGUUUGAAGUCAGAUUUAUUUUAUUUUAUUUUUUUUUAAGUUGAGUAGACCACAGUGUUACAUUAGUUUCAGGUAUAUCAGGAGAUGUUCUAAUCGCUCUUCCACCACUGGCCACUGUGAUACUGGGCAGAUCACUGACCAGUAACUUUCUAGGCCCUCUGUUUGUCCCCAUCUACUAAAUAGGAAUAAUAAUCUUCAUCACAGGAAUUAAUGUGCAUACACACAGAGGCCCUUUGAGUGUUUGGAAAGGAUGGUGCCAUCAAAAUUCAAUAUAUUGAUUAUAAUUUGCUUUCUCAUUCAUGGAGCUCACAGCAUAUUAUAGCCAUUUUGUAGAUGGCUUCUCCCUUUUUUAUGGUUGGCAUGGAAAAGGGAACUGACCAUCCAAAAUUUAUAAAUUCUAGCCAUAAAACAUGUGAGAGAGAACCCAAGGAUGCUGAAGGCAGUGAGGCUUGCUUCCCUUUUACUCCUGUUUUUUCAAAAGUCAGUUGUGUUUCUUCAGAACCAGGGGAGGAGUGCCAUUCUAAUUAGAGGAAAAUGAUGUCCUUUGGAAAUAAUCUAAAUGUUAAACAGCAGUAAUGAGUAACCCUGUUACAGGCUCCCUUUCAGGAUGGAUCUAUUAGUUUGAGGCUUUCUCAGGUCAUCCAGAUGAGAAAUAUGUUUAGGAACAACACUGGUGAUUUAGCUUAAGUUGGUGUCCGGGCACUUAGAGGCUGCUCUGUGUCUUUACAUCCUUUCAAGAGAAAUGAGAUGAAGGAAUAUUCAAGCUGAAUUCUGAAAUAGAAAAGGGAAAAGGACAGCGUCACUCUGAUUUAUUCAUUCAGGGGUGCCUAGGUGGCUCAGUCAGUUGAGCGUCUGCCUUCAACUCAGGUCAUAAUCUCAGGGUCCUGGGAUCAAGCCCUGCAUCCAGCUCCACACUCAGCGGGGAGUCUGCUUCUCCUUCUCCCAUUGCCCCUCCCCCAUUCCUUCUCUUUCUCUCUCUCU